UUAAUUGCUUUGUAUGUUUGAUGACAGCAAAUUAGCAAGUAUUACCUACUGAUUGCAGAAACGUUUGUUUUCUUUUUAUGUCGAAAAAUCGGUUCU